GGUUCACUUAUAUAAGCUCUGUCAUCUGACACCCCUAGCUGUCCAUAAUCAUUGAGUCCACAGGCAUAAACACGACCAUGAUCUGUGAGAAAGAGAGAAUGAGCUCCGCCACAUGCAAUUUGACGGAGGUUUUGAUUAUGAAAAGCAGAAGAAGGAAGAACAUUAGGUCUCCAUUGCGACUCAAGACUUCCAUGCCCUAGCCUGCCAUGAUCACCGUUCCCCCAAAGGGCUGCUAAUCGCCGAUUUCCAUUAAAUUCAACACUGGAAACUGAAAAACACCUCACACACCACGAUGAUCUCUUUGUAACUGCUCUUCCUAUUAUCAUCUUUGUCGAUUGAAGGAAGAUGUUCAACUUCAGCGAUACUACAUACUUCUUCAAUAACUAGUCUAUGGCUUA
rnacentral:misc_RNA from 1 species